ACAGCCCUGCACGUCGCGAAGUCUCAGGUUCCACCUGAGAUAGCAUAGCCUAGCGACGGUGGGUUUUU
rnacentral:sRNA from 12 species